GAUGAACGCUAGCGGGAGGCUUAACACAUGCAAGUCGAGGGGCAGCAUAGGGUAGCAAUACUCUGAUGGCGACCGGCAAACGGGUGAGUAACGCGUAUGCAACCUACCCUGUACAGGGGGAUAACCCGGAGAAAUUCGGACUAAUAUCCCGUAAUAAUAUCCGGAGGCAUCUUUGGAUAUUUAAAGUUCCGACGGUACGGGAUGGGCAUGCGUAACAUUAGCUGGUUGGUAAGGUAACGGCUUACCAAGGCUAUGAUGUUUAGGGGUCCUGAGAGGGUGGUCCCCCACACUGGUACUGAGACACGGACCAGACUCCUACGGGAGGCAGCAGUGAGGAAUAUUGGUCAAUGGGCGCAAGCCUGAACCAGCCAUCCCGCGUGCAGGAAGACGGCCCUAUGGGUUGUAAACUGCUUUUCCAGGGAGAGAAACUUACGCACGUGUUGCGUGACUGACGGUACCCUGGGAAUAAGCAUCGGCUAACUCCGUGCCAGCAGCCGCGGUAAAGU
rnacentral:rRNA from 1 species